UACGUAGGGUGCAAGCGUUGUCCGGAAUUACUGGGCGUAAAGAGCUCGUAGGCGGUCUGUCGCGUCUGCUGUGAAAACCUAGGGCUUAACUCUGGGCGUGCAGUGGGUACGGGCAGGCUAGAGUGCGGUAGGGGAGACUGGAAUUCCUGGUGUAGCGGUGAAAUGCGCAGAUAUCAGGAGGAACACCGGUGGCGAAGGCGGGUCUCUGGGCCGUAACUGACGCUGAGGAGCGAAAGCAUGGGGAGCGAACAGG
rnacentral:rRNA from 1 species